rnacentral:tRNA from 1 species
UCCCUGGUAGCUCAGAUGGUAAAGCGUCUGCCUACAAUGCAGCAGACCAGGGUUCAAUCCCUGGGUGGGGAA